AUACGUAGGGUGCGAGCGUUGUCCGGAAUUACUGGGCGUAAAGAGCUCGUAGGUGGUUUGUCGCGUCGUCUGUGAAAUUCCGGGGCUUAACUCCGGGCGUGCAGGCGAUACGGGCAUAACUUGAGUACUGUAGGGGAGACUGGAAUUCCUGGUGUAGCGGUGAAAUGCGCAGAUAUCAGGAGGAACACCGGUGGCGAAGGCGGGUCUCUGGGCAGUAACUGACGCUGAGGAGCGAAAGCAUGGGUAGCGAACAGGAUUAGAUACCCUGGUAGUCCAUGCCGUAAACGGUGGGCGCUAGGUGUAGGGGUCUUCCACGACUUCUGUGCCGUAGCUAACGCAUUAAGCGCCCCGCCUGGGGAGUACGGCCGCAAGGCUAAAACUUAAAGGAAUUGACGGG
rnacentral:rRNA from 1 species